UACGGGGGGGGCAAGCGUUGUUCGGAAUUACUGGGCGUAAAGGGCUCGUAGGUGGCCAACUAAGUCGGACGUGAAAAUCCCUCGGCUUAACCGGGGAACUGCGUCCGAUACUGGUUGGCUUGAGUUUGGGAGAGGGAUGCGGAAUUCCAGGUGUAGCGGUGAAAUGCGUAGAUAUCUGGAGGAACACCGGAGGCGAAAGCGGUGUACUGGGGCUGGUCUGACGCUGAGGCACGAAAGCCAGGGAGACGACGGG
rnacentral:rRNA from 1 species